CACGUAGGGGGCAAGCGUUGUCCGGAAUCAUUGGGCGUAAAGAGCUCGUAGGCGGCUCAGUAAGUCGGGUGUGAAACCCUCAGGCUCAACCUGGGGACGCCACCCGAUACUGCUGUGGCUAGAGUCCAGUAGGGGAGUGUGGAAUUCCCGGUGUGAGCGGUGAAAUGCGCAGAUAUCGGGAGGAACACCAGCGGCGAAGGCGGCAUCCUGGACCAACACUGACGCUGAGUGAGCGAAAGCCAGGGGAGCAAACGGG
rnacentral:rRNA from 1 species